GGAGAGGUGGCAGAGUGGACGAAUGCGGCGGUCUCGAAAACCGUUUGGCCUCGCGAGGGGUCACGUGGGUUCAAAUCCCACCCUCUCCG
rnacentral:tRNA from 1 species